rfam:Candidatus Pelagibacter sp. IMCC9063, complete genome.
AACGUUCAUCUUUUUUUAAAAAGACGGAAGUAGCGAAAGCGAAGGAACGCACC